rnacentral:miRNA from 3 species
UGGUCGACCAGCUGGAAAGUAAU